rnacentral:tRNA from 1 species
GUACCCUAAGGUUAGAUACCUUCUUUAUUUCCGCCUCGCACGCGGAAGGUCCGGGGUUCAAAUCCCCGCCGGUCCA